rnacentral:rRNA from 1 species
AUUGAACGCUGGCGGCAGGCCUAACACAUGCAAGUCGAGCGGAUGAAGGGAGCUUGCUCCUGGAUUCAGCGGCGGACGGGUGAGUAAUGCCUAGGAAUCUGCCUGGUAGUGGGGGAUAACGUCCGGAAACGGGCGCUAAUACCGCAUACGUCCUGAGGGAGAAAGUGGGUGAUCUUCGGACCUCACGCUAUCAGAUGAGCCUAGGUCGGAUUAGCUAGCUGGUGGGGUAAAGGCCUACCAAGGCGACGAUCCGUAACUGGUCUGAGAGGAUGAUCAGUCACACUGGAACUGAGACACGGUCCAGACUCCUACGGGAGGCAGCGGUGGGGAAUAUUGGACAAUGGGCGAAAGCCUGAUCCAGACAUGCCGCGUGUGUGAAGAAGGUCUUCGGAUUGUAAAGCACUUUAAGUUGGGAGGAAGAGCAGUAAGUUAAUACCUUGCUGUUUUGACGUUACCAACAGAAUAAGCACCGGCUAACUUCGUG